rnacentral:rRNA from 1 species
GGCCAUUAACUGACGUUGAGGAGCGAAAGCAUGGGGAGCGAACAGGAUUAGAUACCUGGUAGUCCAUGCCGUAAACGUUGGGCACUAGGUGUGGGGGACAUUCCACGUUUUCCGCGCCGUAGCUAACGCAUUAAGUGCCCCGCCUGGGGAGUACGGCCGCAAGGCUAAAACUCAAAGGAAUUGACGGGGGCCCGCACAAGCGGCGGAGCAUGCGGAUUAAUUCGAUGCAACGCGAAGAACCUUACCAAGGCUUGACAUGGACUGGAAACGCCCGGAAACGGGUGCCCCGCUUGCGGCCGGUUUACAGGUGGUGCAUGGUUGUCGUCAGCUCGUGUCGUGAGAUGUUGGGUUAAGUCCCGCAACGAGCGCAACCCUCGUUCUAUGUUGCCAGCGGGUAGUGCCGGGGACUCAUGGGAGACUGCCGGGGUCAACUCGGAGGAAGGUGGGGACGACGUCAAAUCAUCAUGCCCCUUAUGUCUUGGGCUUCACGCAUGCUACAAUGGCCGGUACAAUGGGUUGCGAUACUGUGAGGUGGAGCUAAUCCCAAAAAGCCGGUCUCAGUUCGGAUUGGGGUCUGCAA